AACGUAGGGGCCAGCGUUGUCCGGAAUUACUGGGCGUAAAGAGCGCGUAGGCGGUUUGGUUAGCGGAGGGUGCAAUCCAGAGGCUCAACCUCUGAACUGCUCUCCGAACUGUCCAGACUUGAGUACGGGAGAGGGUAGUGGAAUUCCUGGUGUAGCGGUGGAAUGCGUAAAUAUCAGGAGGAACACCCGUGGCGAAGGCUGCUACCUGGAACGUUACUGACGCUGAGGCGCGAAAGCUAGGGGAGCGAACGGGAUUAGAUACCCUGGUAGUCCCUGAG
rnacentral:rRNA from 1 species